rnacentral:rRNA from 1 species
UUGACCUCGAAUCAGGUAGGAAUACCCGCUGAACUUAAGCAUAUCAAAAGC